UCCGGUUGAUCCUGCCGGACCUGACUGCUAUCGGAUUGAUACUAAGCCAUGCGAGUCAUUGUAGCAAUAAAGGCAUACGGCUCAGUAACGCGUAGUCAACCUAACCUAUGGACGGGAAUAACCUCGGGAAACUGAGAAUAAUGCCCGAUAGAACAUUAUGCCUGGAAUGGUUUAUGUUCCAAAUGAUUUAUCGCCGUAGGAUGGGACUGCGGCCUAUCAGUUUGUUGGUGAGGUAAUGGCCCACCAAGACUAUUACAGGUACGGGCUCUGAGAGGAGUAGCCCGGAGAUGGGUACUGAGACACGGACCCAGGCCCUAUGGGGCGCAGCAGGCGAGAAAACUUUGCAAUGUGCGAAAGCGCGACAAGGUUAAUCCGAGUGGUUUCUGCUAAAGAAACCUUUUGUCAGUCCUAGAAACACUGAUGAAUAAGGGGUGGGCAAGUUCUGGUGUCAGCCGCCGCGGUAGAACCAGCACCUCAAGUGGUCAGGAUGAUUAUUGGGCCUAAAGCAUCCGUAGCCGGCUCUGUAAGUUUUCGGUUAAAUCUGUACGCUCAACGUACAGGCUGCCGGGAAUACUGCAGAGCUAGGGAGUGGGAGAGGUAGACGGUACUUGGUAGGAAGGGGUAAAAUCCUUUGAUCUAUUGAUGACCACCUGUGGCGAAGGCGGUCUACCAGAACACGUCCGACGGUGAGGGAUGAAAGCUGGGGGAGCAAACCGGAUUAGAUACCCGGGUAGUCCCAGCUGUAAACUAUGCAAACUCAGUGAUGCAUUGGCUUGUGGCCAAUGCAGUGCUGCAGGGAAGCCGUUAAGUUUGCCGCCUGGGAAGUACGUACGCAAGUAUGAAACUUAAAGGAAUUGGCGGGGGAGCACCACAAGGGGUGAAGCCUGCGGUUCAAUUGGAGUCAACGCCGGG
rnacentral:rRNA from 1 species